rnacentral:rRNA from 1 species
UGAAGCCGGAAUUGCUAGUAAUGGCAGGUCAGCAUACUGCCGUGAAUACGUUCCCGGGCCUUGUACACACCGCCCGUCACACCAUGAGAGUUGGGAAUACCCGAAGCCUGUGAGCUAACUUUACGAGGCAGCAGUCGAAGGUAGAAUCAAUGAUUGGGGUGAAGUCGUAACAAGGUACC